AACGAACGCUGGCGGCGUGGCUAAGACAUGCAAGUCGCACGGUGUAGCAAUACACAGUGGCGAACGGGUGAGUAAUGAAUCGCUAAUGUACCCCGGACUCUGGGAUAGCUGACCGAAAGGUCAGGUAAUACCAGAUGAGACCCCGAUCAGGCAUCUGAUUGUGCUCAAAGGUCCGCCGGUCUGGGAGCAGGCGAUUUCGUAUCAGCUAGUUGGUGAGGUAACGGCUCACCAAGGCGACGACGCGUAGCCGGACUGAGAGGUUGGCCGGCCACAUUGGGACUGAGACACUGCCCAGACUCCUACGGGAGGCUG
rnacentral:rRNA from 1 species